rnacentral:tRNA from 1 species
AAAGGGAGACCUAAUUCAGGUAGGAGACGAAAAAAAAGUAGUCGCUACCAAGAAUCAAUCCCAAAAGGUCGGAGCGAGGCGAAAUUGGCUUUCAAACUAGGUUCUGGGUUCAAACAAGACCUGAAUCAGGAACAAGGGCUAUUAGCUCAGGUGGUUAGAGCGCACCCCUGAUAAGGGUGAGGUCCCUGGUUCGAGUCCAGGAUGGCCCACCUGUACAGGUGGCAAAAAGAAAGAAAAGAAGCGAGGAAUCAGCACCUUAUCUUACUGACAUAGUAAGAGAGAAUGCUGGCUCUGAGUAAAGAGUCCAGAGGAACCUUGAAAACUGCAUAGAGCUAGGUGAAAAAGCCAAAAAAGAAGACCGCAAG